UUUAAAUACAAUUGUGGGUUUAUUGUCCAACGUUUAACCGUUCAUCUUAUUUAAAUUUUUUUAUGAUUAGUAUCUAUAUUAUUAUUAGAUGAUAAAACAUGAAUAAUACUUUAUGCUUAACUUAUUUUUUUUAAAAAAAAAUUUAAAUAAGACAAAUGAUUAAACAUUGGACAUAGAAACCCACAACUAUACUUAAA
rfam:Oryza sativa Japonica Group DNA, chromosome 11, cultivar: Nipponbare, complete sequence.